CGAGAGCACUUGUGCUCUAGUGGCAUACGGGUGAGUAACGCGUAGGAAUCUACCUUUUAGUGGGGGACAACCCAGGGAAACUUGGGCUAAUACCACAUAGCCUCGAAAAACGAGUAAAGGCUUCGAAGAAGUUGCUAGAAGAUGAGCCUGCGUCAGAUUAGUUAGUUGGUAGGGUAAUAGCCUACCAAGACUAUGAUCUGUAGCUGGUCUGAGAGGAUGAUCAGCCACACCGGGAUUGAGAUAAGGCCCGGACUCCUACGGGAGGCAGCAGUGGGGAAUAUUGGACAAUGGGGGAAACCCUGAUCCAGCAAUGCCGCGUGAAUGAAGAAGGCCUUAGGGUUGUAAAGUUCUUUCACUUACGAAGAUGAUGACGGUAGUAGGAUAAGAAGGUCCGGCUAACUCUGUGCCAGCAGCCGCGGUAAU
rnacentral:rRNA from 1 species